CAGGCCCGGGAGGCGGCUACCACCUCGGCGGCGACCGCGGCUCUCUCCUCUGCCGGUGGCGGCUGUGGCGCGGCAGGUACGGUAACCUGCCCUCAGAUGCCGCGCCCGCGGCGCUGCCCUGUGCCGGCAGCUGGUGCCGGGCAGGUCCGGGACUCCACUUGGUAAGUAGCCCCGGGUUUUCCCUAACAGCCUGGUUAUGCGAGACCUUCUGGCUUCAGGAAUCUGCGUAAUUUACCGACCCUCUUAUUUAAAUACCUUCGCAUUUUACUGACAAGAUGAGGAAACUCCAUCAGCAGACCUUUUCCGUCCAUCUCACUUAACCCAGCCCCGCCGAUGACCUUAGCCUGGAAUUGUUUUACACCCUCGGCGGCCGCUCCUUCGCCGGCUCCCUCGAGGCCCGCGGCCACCUAACGCUGGCGCUCUGCGGAAAGCCAGCUCCCGGGUGCAGCUCCCACAGCUCGCCCAAGCACAUGGCUACAAGGGUCACCCGUGCCUUCGUUGGGCCAGGUCGUUGAACUUAACAAAUUCAACUGCUUGAUACUUCUCUUCGGACACCUCAAAUUCAUUGUCUGAAGCCGGGCUCGUUUCCCUUGUUCCCUGAAACGUUCCCCAAAUCAAGACACUUCUAAAGCCGAUGCAGUCAGCGCCAUCACCCAUCCGUCCAGUUUCUUUACUCAACGAAGUCACCAUGCCAGGCACAAGGGACAGUAACCACUGUUCCUGCCCCUCGUGAAGCUUCCGAUAUAUUAUCGAAAAUAAAAUGAACAAUACAAAUUUC